rnacentral:lncRNA from 1 species
UUUUUUUCAAAUCUCUCUCGGGAAAAUUUUUUCUCCGUCGUCGCAAAAGCCGAGAGAAAACAGCCGAUAUUUUCUAGCGAAGGUAGAUUCCUUGCAAUUAAAGAUUUUUAUUGAAAAUUCCUUGAAUUUUAGAAUUCAAUAAUUCCCCAAAGCCCCCAAGAAUUUGAAGAGCAGCUUCACUGUAACUUUUUUUUUUGCUUGCCUUUCUCUGCUAGCUUCCAUAUCCAAACCCAAAUUUCCGACAUCGUAGAGUAGUUAGAGGGAAUUGAAUGGUUGUUAUCUGGGUAACAUUCACAGUUAAUUUUGUUAUUUUUUUAAAUUUAGUUUCUUGUUUCUACUUGCUGUUUCUAAAUGGGAAGAUAGUAAUUCUUGAUGUUUUGCGAAAAUUUCGGCUUUUCUUUAUGUUGGUUUUGCUGCGUUGAUUCGUCUUCCAUUAUUUUGGGUUUACGAAUGCCAAAUUUUCAGGGUUUUUUCGGUUGCUGUUUUCCAUUUUCUUGUCUUAGCAAAAAAUUGGGAUGCUUUGGUUGUUAAUUUUAUGUUACAGAAAUCUUUCCUAAAGUAGAAGAUUAGGGUUUGUAGCCAGUGAGAACUGCUUUCCUUCAAAUUUCAUGAAUUUGGUUUCACUUUGUAGAGGAUGCUGUCUCUGAAUGAGGAUCGGUAAAUGUCGAUUUGGUUAUUAACGAUGCCAAUUGCUUAAAGGAAUAAAAUUUCCUGCUUUUCUUUUUGAUAGGAAUUUCUUGCUAGUUUUUGUUCUGCAUGUAAUGAUUGCAAACGAUAUUUGUGCGGAUGUCAGAUUCUCCUUGUUUCCUCUAGUAGAUAAAAUGUUGGCUGAGAUCCCCCCCUCUCUCAUUUCCGCUUAUCUCUCUGUUGCAUUAUUCUUUUGCAGUUCAAAUUUGAAGCAGGUAGAUGAGAACCUCGUUCGAUUUUUAGCUCUUUCUUUAGUUUUGUUCUGGAUAAAGAUAGGCAAGUACUUGGAUACCUCAACUCAGCUUUAUAUUUUAGUCAUGUCUUGAAGAUUUGCUUGCUUUAUUUUGGUUUGAGAUUUCUGAGCAUGUUCAUUCUCUGAACAAUCUAUUUGAGUAUUUCUGUGACCUAAGUUUUAUUGUUCACUUGUAUGAUUUGCAUUUACUUCUUUUAUGCAUCAUGCUCGUCCUUUUCAUCUCUGUUCAGGAAUUAUUCUUUUUUAGUGAUUUUAUACACUAUCAAGAUAGUUCUGUUGCCAUUCUGCAAUUUUUAUGUGACCUCAUGUCUGAUUUAGGUUAAGGGUUCUUUGGAAGGCCUACAUCUUGGAACUUAAGCCGAUACUGAAUGCUUAAGAGAGGUUUUCUUGCUUUUGAGCCGAAUAUCUUAUUUGAAUAUGCUUGUAGGGUUUUUGAAGCUUUUUAUACUCAUUACGUUCUUUCCUGAGGUUAUUCAAUGUAUGGUAAAGCUUAUUCUUUUUGGAUUAAGGCUAUUAAGAGCCUCCAGAUUGGGCAAAGCUUGACGAUAAGGUUUUACUAAGGCUGCAAAGAUGAUUUACAUCUCUGAUGAGAAGACUUGUAUAAUGCUUUACAGAUGAGGAGGUUCUUUUCCUUAGGAUCUUCGAUAUCCAGCACUGGGAAUAGCAAUACAACUCCAGCACCUAGAAACAAGAAGAAGGGUGCCAAUCCUGCAGGUGAAAAGGUCCAUGAUGGCUCUCGGAAUCCCAAGGGUUCAGUUCUCAAAUCGCGAAACCACUACCCACAAAGUGAAGACUCAUCCAAUUCACAUCUCAGAAGGAGCCUUUCAUUUUCCUCUCCAUCCACUUACAGUGGUUUGGAGGAAGAGAAUUUGAAUUUUUCAAGUGACAUCAAUAGAUUACCAUCCAGCUAUGGCAACAGACUACAUGAUGCAGGCGAAUGCCCUAUCCAGUAAGUGCUCACAAUCUGCAGAUCUGUUCAAUGAUGUUCAUCCUGUGAUGCUCUAAUUUUGCUUAAAGUUCU